GUCCAGACUCCUACGGGAGGCAGCAGUGGGGAAUAUUGCACAAUGGGGGAAACCCUGAUGCAGCGACGCCGCGUGAGUGAAGAAGUAUUUCGGUAUGUAAAGCUCUAUCAGCAGGGAAGAAAAUGACGGUACCUGACUAAGAAGCCCCGGCUAACUACGUGCCAGCAGCCGCGGUAAUACGUAGGGGGCAAGCGUUAUCCGGAUUUACUGGGUGUAAAGGGAGCGUAGACGGCAUGGCAAGUCAGAUGUGAAAGCCCGGGGCUCAACCCCGGGACUGCAUUUGAAACUGCCAGGCUGGAGUGCAGGAGAGGUAAGUGGAAUUCCUAGUGUAGCGGUGAAAUGCGUAGAUAUUAGGAGGAACACCAGUGGCGAAGGCGGCUUACUGGACUGUAACUGACGUUGAGGCUCGAAAGCGUGGGGAGCAAACAGGAUUAGAUACCCGAGUACG
rnacentral:rRNA from 1 species